UCUGAUGUUGAAAAAGAUAUGUUAUAAAAAAUAUAUAUAAAAAACGUAUUUCCAAGCAAUGUGAUUUUUCCAAAAAUGCAAGAAUAAGUAGUUGGUUUAAAGUUAUCUUGACUAAAUAUAUCUUGACAAAGUUCAAAGUUAUCUUGACAUAGAUAUAAUUUGCAGAAUUAUUGCAUGUUUUCUAAUGUUAAAACAUUCACGUCAAGGUGACACACAGGAUGAAAUUAGUGUAUCGUCAACCACGAUUGUUGACUGAUUUCAUUUUUGCAGAGAGUCUGUGUGUUCUGGGCUGAAAAACAUACCGAAAAGCUUGAUGGCCCAGAACAUACAGUAGAAAUUGAUGAAGCAAAAAUUGAGAAAUGAAAGUAUAAUUGUGGAAGACUUGUCAAAGGAAAUUGGAUUUUUGGAGGGUACGAAUGUCAUUUGAAGAUUUUUAUCGUUCCAGUAUGAACAGAAAAAACACUUCUAGUGUGUAUCAAGGAAGAGAUUUUGCCAGGAACUGGCAAACUAUCAUGUCAGUUGUUGAAAGUCUUAUAAUUGCUUGAACAAUAAAGGCUUCUCCCAUCAUUUGACAGUAAACCAUUCGUACAACUUUGUCGAAAGUGGUGCAUAUACAUAAUAUAUAGAGCAUAUUUGGAAAGAAGUUCGGGGAAAUAUUCCAAGAUACGGAACUGGAUCUGAGCACGUCCUUGGAUAUUUGUCUGAAUUUCUCUUCAAACGCGCCUAUAGCCGACUGAAAUGCAUAGAAAUGGGCCCAAAGAAAAUAUUCUUCGACAUCAUUGCCGAAAUGUAUCCACCAAUUUUCUUCCACACAUCAACCAGAAACAUCCUGUGAGGAACCAAGUACCAGUACUAAUUGAAAACACAUUUUUGUUCACAUCACUAUUUUUUUUAUCAAUAUUCAUAUUAUUACCACAUUUAUUACAUUGUAUUUAUAUUGUAUUUGCUACAACACCUUCCUGAAUUUAAAAAUCUAUUAAUCCUUUAUGCAGUUAUGUGUAAUGUGCAAUACAAUAUUAUAUAUUUAGUUGUAUGUAUUUAUAUAUAUUUUUAUAUACUUAAAUAUAUUUAAAU